GAUGAACGCUGGCGGCGUGCCUAAUACAUGCAAGUCGAGCGAACAGACGAGGAGCUUGCUCCUCUGACGUUAGCGGCGGACGGGUGAGUAACACGUGGAUAACCUACUUAUAAGACUUGGAUAACUUCGGGAAACCGGAGCUAAUACCGGAUAAUAUAUUGAACCGCAUGGUUCAAUAGUGAAAGACGGUUUUGCUGUCACUUAUAGAUGGAUCCGCGCCGCAUUAGCUAGUUGGUAAGGUAACGGCUUACCAAGGCAACGAUGCGUAGCCGACCUGAGAGGGUGAUCGGCCACACUGGAACUGAGACACGGUCCAGACUCCUACGGGAGGCAGCAGUAGGGAAUCUUCCGCAAUGGGCGAAAGCCUGACGGAGCAACGCCGCGUGAGUGAUGAAGGUCUUCGGAUCGUAAAACUCUGUUAUUAGGGAAGAACAAAUGUGUAAGUAACUAUGCACGUCUUGACGGUACCUAAUCAGAAAGCAACGGCUAACUACGUG
rnacentral:rRNA from 1 species